AACACGUAAACAACCUGCCUUCAGGAUGGGGACAACAGACGGAAACGACUGCUAAUACCGAAUACGUUCCACGGGCCGCAUGACCUGUGGAAGAAAGGGUAGCCUCUACCUGUAAGCUAUCGCCUGAAGAGGGGUUUGCGUCUGAUUAGGCAGUUGGUGGGGUAACGGCCCACCAAACCAACGAUCAGUAGCCGGUCUGAGAGGAUGAACGGCCACACUGGAACUGAGACACGGUCCAG
rnacentral:rRNA from 1 species